rnacentral:rRNA from 1 species
UACGAAGGGACCUAGCGUAGUUCGGAAUUACUGGGCUUAAAGAGUUCGUAGGUGGUUAAAAAAGUUGAUGGUGAAAUCCCAGAGCUUAACUCUGGAACUGCCAUCAAAACUUUUUAGCUAGAGUAUGAUAGAGGAAAGCAGAAUUUCUAGUGUAGAGGUGAAAUUCGUAGAUAUUAGAAAGAAUACCAAUUGCGAAGGCAGCUUUCUGGAUCAUUACUGACGCUGAGGAACGAAAGCAUGGGUAGCGAAGAGG